GCUUGUGUGUGUCUGUGUAAAGACAUUAGAAACAUACCAGCACUGAGUCCUGUGAUUGAACAGGAGGAACGUAUCACCCAAGGCCUCUAUUCCAAACCUACUAGGAUACAGAAUGAAGUAGGCCAGGAACCUUAUGAAAGGCCCUAUUAAAAAAAAAAAAUAGGGAUGAAAUCACAGACUGAGGAAUAUACAAGGAGAGCUUGACAAAAGAAUCAGGAGAAAUGUCAGAGUCAGCAUGUACUUUGCUGCAACAACAUCACAUAGGGUUCAUUUUAACCAAUGCCACUUCCCUGCAGGCUUUUGUGCUCUGAGAUGGAGAACAGGAUCGGGGCAUUCCAAUUAUCUAGAUAUGCUUUGACUUACUUUCCUACUUACACCAGCCAUUGAUGAAUCUAAAUCCAAAUGAAGAAGAUUCAAAUUCUAGAAUCAUUUAGCAGGACAUUUUACCUAGAAAUAGAAGGAAAAAUAUCAUCCCUACGACUUUGUAUGACUUUGUUGUAUCUCCCACAAAUCACAUUGUGGAAUUUUUACUGUAUCGAAAGAUUGUUGAAAUUGAUCUUGAAGGUAAUUUGCAACAAUCUAUUGAAUGUUUCUAGACCCCUUUAUAAUGAUCUUAAGUGAUACUCUAACCCAGAAGUUGACAUACUUUUUCUGUCCAGAUUGUAACUGUAUUAGGCUUUGCAAGUCAGGUGGCCUCUAUUGCAAUUACUCAACUCUACCUUUGUAGCAUGAAAGUAAUCAAGGAUAACAAUGUAAAUGAAUGGAAUGGAUGUGGCUGUGUUCUAGUCAGUCUUUAUUUACAAAUACGUAUGGCUGGUUUAGGCUAGUGGUAUAGAUGUGAUAUAUAACUUCAGAUAUUUUUCAGGUGGAUCUAUUUUAAAAGUUAUUAAUUUGAACUUUUUCCUCUAAAGGUGCUUUUCUCAAAACUUUUACAAUAACCAAAUAUUUUUCCAAGUAUUUCUACGCCUUCUUACCCCUACUCAUACAGAUGAACUACACUGACUCUAGGAAGGGAUUGAGAUAAAUGUCUGAGAACCUAUCGGUUAAUAAUAGCAUUUAUUGAGUGCCUACUACAUCUCAGGUUUGUACCAAGUGCUCUUCCUGCAUUAGCUCACUUAAUUCUGAGGCAAACUGAGGUUAGAGAGACUAGGCAACUUGCCUGUAUCUUCACAGCAUGUGUGUGGCAGAAGUAAAAUUCAAACCCAAAUUCAUCUCCAAAGAUAAGCUUUUAGGACCACAAAAUACUCUGUAGUAUAUUUGUAAAGCUAACAAUUUUCUUUUACAGCAUAGAAAAUUAUAUUUCAAUAUAUGGAGGCUAAACCAGGAGUGAAGAAAAUACGACUGUGGUUGUCUUAGUAGAUUGUGUCUUCUUUUCCCUGUCAUAAUAUUGAAUGUGGUUUGGAAUAAAUGACCAAAUCCACAACUCUGAAAAUAUCUAAAAUGUGUUGGUGCUGUCAUGUCAAACACAGUCUUAGUUAUGCCAUAGUAAUUUUUAAAAUUGAAUUUUCAUAGUUAGCUCACUGAGAUGGGUCCAAGAAUGAAGCAGAGCAUGAAACUUCAUAUAUGGAUAUUUAAGUCAUUUAUAUCCAUGCUGAGAAUAUAUUUACUGUGGUUGACUGACAUCUGUCACUGAAACAGCAGCUAAUUAGAAGGAAAAAAAUUUAAGAAAAAAACAAGCCUGAGUUCUGCUCUAUAAUUUAAGAAGACUCAGCUUCAUCUACAAGUUGUGAUACACAAGUUCAUGAGAAUGGUAAGAAAGAUGUAUUUUCCAACUAAACAAGAAGCUGUUUUGAACACCGUAAAUGACAGCAUGUUUUAAGCAGUCUCUGACUUAAAAAAAGAUGGUAGUAGAGAGGAAGGACCACAGAUCUAAGCUGACAAACCACUAUUAUUGAUGUCUGACAGAUGGUGCCUUUCAUUUCUGUGGAAUUGAUGCACCACCAGACCAAAGGGAUGCGCAACCAGAAUGGGAGCCGAUGAUGAAUUCUAGCUGGAUGCUAAGCUCAGCCAUGGCACAGAGUCUGAGGCAAAUGAAGCACAAAGCAGAGUGCUCUUUUGAGAUUUACCCUUUGACCUUUGAAGGAGAAGAAGAGAAACUAACAAAUGACAUUUUUUAAAUUUUUUAUUUUUUGAGAUGGAGUCUCUCUCUGUCGCCCAGGCUGGAGUACAAUGGCAUGAUCUCGGCUCACUGCAACCUCACCUCCCUGGGUUCAAGCAAUUCUCCUGCCUCAGCCUCCGGAGUAGCUGGGAUUACAGGUGCCGGCCAUCACACCCAGCUAAUUUUUGUAUUUUUAGUAGAGACAGGGUUUCGCCAUGUUUGCCAGGCUGGUCUCCAACUCCUGACCUUAAGUAAUCCACCGCCUCAGCCUCCCAAAGUGCAGGAAUUACAGGCAUGAGCCACUGCCCCCCAGCCCAAAUGACAUUUAAGGUUAGAUUGGAGCUGAGAGUUUGAACAAACUUCAAAUCUCAGAAUAACAGCAAAAUUUCAGUCACAUUAUGUGGAUUCAGUCACAUUGUGAUCAAAACAGAAGAAAAAGGGUUAACUAUCUACUUGAAGAAAAAAGAUCUUCAUGUAGAGGGAAACAGAGACCAAGAGGAGAUAAAUUGGUUUAAGGAUAUGUCAAUACCUUUUCUUUGAAUGACAAGAAGCUUUUGAUACUACUCUUUCCUCUUGGAAAUUAUCCAAAAAAAUAAUGUUUACUAUUUUCUAGACUGAAGUUUAAGACUUGGUUGGGUUUUAAGGUCUCUAAAGCUAAUAUACAUUUCUUGUUCAUUCAUUUAUUCACCAAAUGGAAAUCUUUAGUUUGCUGCUCUUCUUCUGGGCAAAACUCAAAGUUUUUUCUUUAAUACACAUAUUCUCUUUGGCACACAUAAUUAGGUGGCAUGGAUGGGCUUCACUACCACCCCUGAUGCUAACAGUGCCCUUUAAGAAGCAGCUAUUCAGCCUCCUGGAAAUAGGAUUUUCCUCUUUCUUCCAUGGUAGCAAGUAGAAGAUUUUCUUUCUUCCCUUGAUGGUGUGAUAUGAAGAUAUGGAGCCUGGAACAACUAAACCCAUUAUGCUGCCAAGAGAAGACACCUGGGCCUUGGUGGGUUUGAACCACUGAAUUAAGUCUUCACCAAAAUCAGAACAUCUUCUGGACUUUUAAGUUCCAUGAGUUAAUAAACCCUCUUUAUUGGUUAAGCCUUUUUGGUUCAGGUUUUUUGAGUCAUUUGUUUUCAAGAAUCUUUGCAGAGUCAAAAUAACAUUGUGCCAGUUUCUAGAACUAAGACAGUUAAGACUAUCCUAUGCUUUUAAGAGGCUUCCUUUGUGAUGCAAAUAUGACCUCUGAGCAAGUAAGAGACUGAAGUACUAGAAAAAAAACGUCUGAAUUCAAUUUUUAAAAAGGACAAUUAUAAGAAAGAAAAGGAAGAAACAUUUUGUCAGGGGGCCCGGAUAUAGGAACAGAUAACAAAAGAUUGUUCCACCUGCCUGCCUAGGAGAAACAACAAACCAAAAAGUCAUCUGAAAAUCUGCAACUUUUGAUCUAAAUGCAAAUCAAACCAGUUUCUGUGAAAAGCACUUAAACAUCCAGAAGGCUUGUUGUGCAGAACUGAGAAUUUGGGGAUUGCCCACAGCCUUGAAAAGUACAGAACAUGUUCUUUCCUCCAACAAAUAAUUGGGAACAAGAAGUCUGUCUGGAAUUAAUUCAAUUGGUGUCAAGGGUGAGUUACAAAACCAUCAACAUCUAAGAAAUCAACUGUGUUAUCUUUAUCCUGUGUUUUUAUCCAUAUGAAUAAUUUAAACUAUUAUAAAUAGCAGAUUGAUUGUAUUUUCAGAUCAUAGCUAUAUUUAAUUACAUCUUCUGUCACAUAAAAAAUGGCUAAGAUUUUUAACCUUUCUUUUUCAAGAGUAAAGGCAGCUCCCUGGCAUGACCAGGAAUGGGCCUUUUGUUGAACACAAAAUUGAGAUUUAUGGUGCUGGGUUAUAUAAAGAAAAAGGAAAAUAAAUGUAUUUGUCUUGUGACUAUAAAGAAUGAUUUCUUGUAGAUUUAGCUUUGGACUUCUACAUACAAAAGAGGGAUGUGUGAUGUGGCACAGUAAGACUAAAUCCUAAUGUGUACAAGUCACCUGGAUAUUGUGUUGAAAUGCAGAUGCAGACUUAGGAGAUCUGAGGGAGGGCCUUAGAUCUGCAUUUCCGGUAAGAUCCCCAUUGAUGCUAAUGCAUUUGGGCCUACUGGCCACACUUUAAGAAGCAAGAGUAUAGAAGAAAGAACUAAGGUAUAUAGUAUUCAAGAAGUCUGGCUUUAGUUCCAGUUUCAUCACUAAUUAGCCAUGAGACCUCACCAAUAUCACUUAAAUAUAUUCCUCAUGUAUAAGAUGAUGGGGCUGGACUUAGUCAUCUCAAAAUUCCUGACACAAGAACUGGGAGUGAUGACGUGUGCCUGUAAUUCCAUCUACUCAGGAGGCUGAGGCAGGAGGAUUACUUUCUUUCUUUCUUUUUGAGACUGAGUCUCACUCUUUCGCCCAGGCUGAAGUGCAGUGGUGUGAUCUCGGCUCACUGCAAACUCCACCUCCCCAGUUCAAACAAUUCUCCUGCCCCAGCAUCCUGAAUAGCUGGGACUACAGGUGCCCACCACCACACCUGGCUAAUUUUUGUGUUUUUAGUAGAGACAGGGUUUCACUAUGUUGGGCAGGCUGGUCUCAAACUCCUGGCCUCACGUGAUCCACCCACCUCAGCCUCCCAAAGUGCUAGGAUUAUAGGCGUAAGCCACCAUGCCCAGCAGCCAGGAGGAUUUCUUGAGGCCAAGAAUUCAAGGCUGCAGUGCACUACGAUCACGUCUGUUAAUAGUGAAUAGCCACUGCACUCCAGCCUUGGCAAGAUAACAAGACCCCAUUUUCCAAAAAGAAAGAAAUGAAAGAAAGAGAGAAAGAGGAAGGAAGGAAGGAGGGAAGGAGGGAAGGAGGGAAAGAAGGAAGGAAAGAAAGAAGGAAGGAAGGAAGGAAAUAAGGGAAAG
rnacentral:lncRNA from 10 species